rnacentral:rRNA from 2 species
UGGGGAAUAUUGCACAAUGGAGGAAACUCUGAUGCAGCGAUGCCGCGUGAGGGAAGAAGGUUUUAGGAUUGUAAACCUCUGUCUUCAGGGACGAAAAAAGGACGGUACCUGAGGAGGAAGCUCCGGCUAACUACGUGCCAGCAGCCGCGGUAAUACGUAGGGAGCGAGCGUUGUCCGGAAUUACUGGGUGUAAAGGGAGCGUAGGCGGGAUCGCAAGUCAGAUGUGAAAACUAUGGGCUUAACCCAUAAACUGCAUUUGAAACUGUGGUUCUUGAGUGAAGUAGAGGUAAGCGGAAUUCCUAGUGUAGCGGUGAAAUGCGUAGAUAUUAGGAGGAACAUCAGUGGCGAAGGCGGCUUACUGGGCUUUAACUGACGCUGAGGCUCGAAAGCGUGGGGAGCAAACAGGAUUAGAUACCCUGGUAGUCCACGCCGUAAACGAUGAUUACUAGGUGUGGGGGGACUGACCCCUUCCGUGCCGCAGCAAACGCAAUAAGUAAUCCACCUGGGGAGUACGACCGCAAGGUUGAAACUCAAAGGAAUUGACGGGGGCCCGCACAAGCAGUGGAGUGUGUGGAUUAAUUCGAAGCAACGCGAAGAACCUUACCAGGUCUUGACAUCGUAUGCAUAGCUCAGAGAUGAGUGAAAUCUCUUCGGAGACAUAUAGACAGGUGGUGCAUGGUUGUCGUCAGCUCGUGUCGUGAGAUGUUGGGUUAAGUCCCGCAACGAGCGCAACCCUUACUGUUAGUUGCUACGCAAGAGCACUCUAGCAGGACUGCCGUUGACAAAACGGAGGAAGGUGGGGAUGACGUCAAAUCAUCAUGCCCCUUAUGACCUGGGCCUCACACGUACUACAAUGGCUGUAAACAGAGGGAAGCAAAGCCGCGAGGUAGAGCGAACCCCUAAAAGCAGUCUUAGUUCGGAUUGUAGGCUGCAACCCGCCUACAUGAAGUCGGAAUUGCUAGUAAUCGCAGAUCAGCAUGCUGCGGUGAAUACGUUCCC